CAUGUGGGUUGUCUUGGCUGUAUUUGUGGGCAGUGUGCUGAUUUUAGUUAUUGGACCUGCUGUGUUAGCAUGGGAAGUUACUGGGGGGUUGUGGAAAAUUACAGCCGAUGGGUGUAAGAACAAAGCACAGGAACUGGUGGUUUGGCAACAGUAUCUUGUUAUAGUCGCGCGAAGCUCUCCUAACACGAAAGGCAUGUAGUUACAAGGACCUAAGAUAAGAUAUGCAUGCUUUCUUACUAACCUAUCAUGAGCUCAGCUUUUGUAAUAUGUAUGAGCUAAUUAGUUGGUAUACCAAUCAGUAUAAUCCACGAUAGUAGUUGUAAUGUAUGUAACAGUAUAAAAGGAUUGUGUAGAGAACAAUAAAGUGGACACUUUGCUUGCAUCAAGUUGCGUCCCCGUCUCUUCAUCGCGGCAAAUGGUGACCCCGACGUGAUCUUCGGUGAAGACUCCGCCGGAGGCUGAUAAUCACCUAUCUGGUGGCGUGCUGCGAGUCCCGCAGAACUGGGAACGCUGCUACAAGGAGCAGGGAAAAGCCGGCUACUGAAGUCAUCACCCCCGUCUGGAACGAGAGAGAGAGGUCCUCGCUGGAUCCCGGCAAAGAACGUGAGACCCUUCCGAGAAACAUUGCAACGGCAGUCUUCUGAUAACGCUCCAGAACCUGCGUUCGAUGAGGAGAACGUUGCUCCCGAAUGAAUUCCGUCUCAGAAACAGAUAAGCGAGAGUUUCAAUGUCCAGACUGCGAAGUGUGCAAUUUCUGGAUCCUUAGAAUUUGUGCUGACUGCGAAAGACCACAGUGGGUAAAUAGGUGCCGCGUAAAACGGUGGUGUGACUAUUGUUUGCAGGAUUAUCAAGGGCUCUUACAGAGGCUGUCAGUGGAAACUGGAAUUGAGGGCGAUAGAACUCGCUCCUAUCAGGAAAAA